rnacentral:other from 1 species
AGGUCGCUGCCCGGUUCGACAGAUCGCAAUAAUCCCCAGGGCCGAUAACCUUGAUCCAUUAGGGAGCUGUCCCUGUCCAGGCCUUGGCCUGAUUACACGGCGCCCACCUGCUCAUGCAGGCCAUGGAGGAUAGGCAUAUGAUCACCGGCCAUGGCGGCCCCUUC